rnacentral:rRNA from 1 species
UGACGCUGGCGGCAUGCCUUACACAUGCAAGUCGAACGCGAAAGGGGGUAACCCCGAGUAGAGUGGCGAACGGGUGAGCAAUACAUCGGAACGCGUCCUGUAGCGGGGGACAACCUCGAGAAAUCGAGGCUAAUACCGCAUACGAUCCACGGAUGAAAGUGGGGGACCGCAAGGCCCCACACUAUAGGAGCGGCCGAUGCCGGAUUAGCUUGUUGGCGGGGUAACGGCCCACCAAGGCGACGAUCCGUAGCUGGUUUGAGAGAACGACCAGCCACACUGGGACUGAGACACGGCCCAGACUCCUACGGGAGGCAGCAGUGGGGAAUUUUGGACAAUGGGCGAAAGCCUGAUCCAGCCAUGCCGCGUGAGUGAAGAAGGCCUUCGGGUUGUAAAGCUCUUUCGGCGGGGACGAAAUGGCGCGGGGUAACAUCCCGCGUCGAUGACGGUACCCGAAGAAGAAGGACCGGCUAACUACGUGCCAGCAGCCGCGGUAAUACGUAGGGUCCAAGCGUUAAUCGGAAUUACUGGGCGUAAAGCGUGCGUAGGCGGUCUCGCAAGUCCGAUGUGAAAUCCCCGGGCUUAACCUGGGAACUGCGUUGGAAACUAUGAGGCUAGAGUGCGGCAGAGGGGGGUGGAAUUCCAGGUGUAGCAGUGAAAUGCGUAGAGAUCUGGAGGAACA